ensembl:lncRNA
CAGCUAGUCAUGCCAAAAAGGCCUGUGAUACAUCAAAAUGCACAACUCCCUUGGUUCCUCUUUGAACCCUGGCCAGUUUUGGGGGGGGAAACCAACAGGAGAAAGAGAAAACCUGAUGUUCUACUUGACUGUCGCAUAGAUUUGUUUAUUCAGUGGACUUUAGAGACCUCAACUACAAAGUGGAUGCACUGCUGUAGGGCUUCCCAAUUGCCAAGACAGGUUCUCCAAAUCCUCGCUGCAACUGGGGCACCACAACGACUGUGGAUCUGGAUGACGAGUAGGAUGUAUGUUGCUCCUAUACCUGAAGAUCAGAAAUUUAUUGCUGCCUUUGGAGAUGACUCUUCAACAAGAGACAUAUCUUGUCAAGUUGUGAACAAGAGUUGGAGCUAUUAGUCUGAAUCAAAACCAAAUAUUAUCAUAUUCUGUAUGAAAUAUAAAAUUAAGAAGAGAUUUGAAUAGAUAUCAAGACAUCAGUUGCACAAAGGCUAUAACCAUGAACCCUCCUUUACAUACAGCUCUUCAUUAGCAGCAGAAUAUCCUCAACUAUUCCGCAUAACAGUAUGGAGCAUGAUGCAGAAUUUGAUGAAGUUUGCUGAGACUAGGUGUGCUCAUGCAUCACAUGGAGAAGUGGAAAUGAGUUCUCAACCAGAAUAUCUGGGUAGUUAUUGUAUUAAUGGAAAGAAAUAUGUCUUGUCUUAUCAGCAAUGUUAUUUAACUUGAGUUUCAGAGACUGCAACACUCUUUUUGUUGUGUAAUAGACAUAGUCCUUCUGUAUAGCUUGUUGAUCUUCCCUUCUUACUGAUCUUUCAGACUGAUAUCCUCAAGGAUUACACUGGGAUACAGCAAAAUCUCUGGCUACAGCUCCAAUUUCAUUUGACAUGUAUGCACUAGUGCCUGGCUGUCAAAACAAAAUAGUUCAGAUAAUGAGAACAUGCAUGAUUCUGUUUUCUACUUCUGUUUACAUAAAACCAGAUUUUAUUAAAAUAUGAACAUUUGGAGUUGUAGAGCAGUUAUCUCAAGCCAAUAUGUUUAGAGAGAUGCAUUCAUUCAAAGAAAAGCCGCAGGAUGGUUCUUCUGUUUACCGUACACAAAGACCACAUAUAGGCGAACAGGAGGAUACAAUUUCCAAAGAGGAAGAAAAAAUUAUGAUGGUGUAUAAAAUCUUAAGGAAAAUAAACAAUUUGAGAACCUAAAUAGGAUUUGUUACUUCAUCUUAAACAGAAGUAUGAUCUUUCUUUUAUUUUCCUUUAUUUUACUUUUAUUUUCCUGUAUUGGUAAAUGCAUUUGUGGGAAGCAAUAAUAGUAUCCAAGGGAAAAGAAUGGGAGUUCAUAUGCUGUUAGAAAGUCUGGUGAGGAAUGUUCUAUUUUACUGUUAGGAUAAGUUGGAAGUCGAAUAAUGAAAGGAGAAAAUUGAGAGUAAAAUUGAAAUGAUAUUUGUUCUACCAUUUUAACAGCAUUCCUAAAGAUUGCUCUCAUUUUCAAAUAGUUCCACAUAAAAUCUGAUACUAAAAUGAAAGGCAUCUUGCUUUUUACAUGACCUCUAGAGGGCCUUUCCAAUCUGAAUUACCCAAUAAUUCUAUGAUUCUCUUCAUCUGAGUAACAGAAGAUCCUUAAAAUGUUUUCAUUUCUGAAUGAUUUUGGCUUUUGAACUGUGCAUAGAUAUUUAACUUGAUCAAUGCCUGGUAAUUACCAAUACAAUCUUACCACUCAUUAUCUGUCCCACUGCACUCAAUAAAACAUGUUCAUAGAAAGCUACAUUAAUAAAAAAAAACUCAAAAUCAAUACGAAAAUAUAAUCAUUAACACAUGAAAUAGAUGUUAUUACUGUUAUUACUCUAUUAUUCCAG